CAUGAAGAAGGGCCUCAGAUGAUGAUUGCAGGAUCUGGGGUCAGUUCAAAUGGGGAGAGAAAUGUUUCUGUUAGUGCGGCAGCACCCACACUUUGGAACUCCCUGUCUAUUGACAUCAUGCAGGUGCCUUCACAGUACUCUUUUCAGUGCCUGCUGAAAACCUUUUUGUUCAGGCAAGCCUAUCCAGACGUGUAGAAUGUUGAAAUAUGUUUUAAUUUGAUUGUAAGCUUACCUUUGAUUUUCAUUAUUUUUGGAUUGUUUUAUUUUUUGGGUAAACCACCUGCUAUUUUUAACUGGAGAUGCCAACUCCAGGGCCUUCAGCAUGUGAAGCAUAUGCUCUCUCACCAAGCUAUGAUUUCUUCUCCAGUUGAUGGUUGGAUGAUUAUGAGUGAAAAAUGAUAAAAGCAGAGUUUCAGGAUUUAAACAUCCAUUGUGGUUAUUCACAUGUCUGUCUAGAAACAAGUUACUCUAAGACAUGGUCAUGAAAAGCUUCUUAAAAUGUGCACAAAAUGAAACCAAUUUGAAAAAUAUAUAAAUAGUCCUUAAUGUGUAAAGACCAAGCUUCGUUAGCAUUUGUGGAUUCUCUGCAAAGAAGUAAAAUGCUUUAAUACACUUACUUGGAUGGCAGCAGGAGGAAUUUUUGGUGCUUUGCCUCAUAUUGUGUAUCUGAGAUGUACUUUGGAAGGACAAUCUUGCUGUACUUUUUGAAAGGCAAAGGAGCUUCAUUUUUUGCUGUUUUUAGCAUUAAGCAUCUUGUCCUGUAACUGCCGCUUCAGCUACCCAGACUGUCAAAAAGCAUUUGUCAGAAGCUGACGGUACACAGCAUAGAUCACCAGGGUUUGGAAUGCCACGUGCUAUGCCUGCGGUGCACCUAUUUCUGUUGAGGAUGGAAAGAAGGUAUUGAAUCACAACAUAUUGUUAGACUUCCAAAAACCUGGUGGGGAAAAUAACUUACUUAUGAAAUCAGCUAGUGGACUGAUUAUGUUUCAUUUUUUUGUCAACCUUCUUGGGCAUCAAGGCCAACUUAGUGAUGGCUGCCUAGUUGGAGGAGAAGGCAGCAGCAAACUAGGAGCACCUUCUAGUAUCAGUGCUGCUAUUAGGUAUUUGCUUCAGAGCCAGCCAUGGUUGCUUGUCUUGUCAUCUGAAGGGGUAGAAGUGCUGAAGUGUGCUGUAGUUGUUGGCUGGAUGAAAUUCUGUUGCAGGUAUGAUCUGGCCUGUCAGUUAGGAGUUCCAGUAAAUGGAAGUACAGUGGUACCUCUGGUUACAUUCUUAAUUCGUUUCAGAGGUCCGUUCUUAACCUGAAACUGUUCUUAACCUGAAGCACCACUUUAGCUAAUGGGGCCUCCCGCUGCCGCUGCGUGAUUUCUGUUCUCAUCCUGAUGCAAAGUUCUUAACCUGAGGUACUAUUUCUGGUUAGUGGAGUCUGUAACCUGAAGCGUCUGUAACCUGAAGUGUCUGUAACCCUAGGUACCACUGUAAAUGUUACUCUGGCUAAUUACAAGUAGUACAAAAAAGUGGGGUCAUGAUUUUUACAAGCAGACUGUCUUCUGCUUUGAAGGUUGCUUAAUAAAUGCUGGAGAUUUCAAGCAAGUAGGUUAUGCGUUUGAUGGCUAUGUGAAGAACAUACUGUGAAGUGCUCUUUGGAGCCUAAUGUAAAUACUAAGCUUGGAUGUGUGUAAUAGGAGACUUUCUGAGUAAAUAGAAAUUUGAAUGAAAGUGUUGACACUCUCUCUCUCUCUCUCUCUCUCUCUUGUGUGUGUGUGUUAGUGGUACAAGCACAUUGAUUGCAUGUUCAAAUUGAAAUGGAUGUUAAUUUGAGAGCCAGUAUGGUCUAGUGUGGUUUAGUGUGUUGGACUAGGACCUGGGAUACAAGGGUUCAAAUCUUCACUCAGCCGUGAAGCUCCCUGGGUGACAUUUGGGCCAGUAGCACUCUUUCAGUUUAACCUAUCUCACUGAAUGGUUAUGGGAAUUAAAUGGAGAGAGGAAGCAAUGUUUGCUACCUUGAGCUUCUUGGAGAAAAUUGUGGGCUGAAAGUGCAAUAAAUAAAUGAAUAGAUGCUGAAGGGGAAAAGGGGGUUGAGGUGAUAUAACUAUUUUAUACUCUUGAGCUCUGUACCUGGCAAGCAGAAGUGUGUUGUGUGAUAGGUCAAUGAAUGAUUGGUGGGAACACUGUUGCUGACUUCAUACCAGCCUUCCAGUACAGGCAUCCCCAUACAUAUGUGUGAUUGACAUGCACGCAACCACGUACAGUAUAUGUGUGGCACCAGGAAAUUAAAUAAAUAAUUCUGAUCUGAAAUGACAGGAGAGAGGUGGAAAGCAUCUGAGGAGACCCUCCCAGAGCCCGGAGAGGACGUCAGUGAGCCAAAUGUCUAGAAAAAAGACUCCAAGUUCUCCAAAAUGGUGUGCAGGAACUCUCUCUGUUACCCUGCUACCCCGUUCAACAGGUGUUGGGCGGAAAGCUGUAUGUAAUGUAUUUCAAAUCAGAGUGACUAUUGAAUUAGAGGUUUUAGUGAUUUAAGAGUCAUGAAGACUGAGGUCUGAAUUCAAUGCUAAGUUAUCAAAGAGACUUGAUCAUUGCAGAUCUCACCCUUUUGAGUGAUUUGCAGAAAAGAAACAUUGUGAUUUUCCUGUGGGACUGCAGUUUGCCUUUGAAGAGAGGAAAAUCCCACUUUGGGAAACAUUGUUCUAAAUAAAAUCAGUACUCAAAGCAUGGCCUCACCUGAUAAUUUUGGCACACAGGAAGAGGCUGUGUGGAAGGAAACAUUCCAUGAGAUACAGCGGGUGGCAUUCGACUAAGUUUUACUCAAAGUAGAUUAAUUAAAAUCAAUAGACACAACUUCGUUAUGUUUAUUAAUGUCAGUGGAUCUACCUUGAGUAAAACUUAGUUGAAUUCCACGCAAUGAGCCCAAACUAUUUAGUGGCUUAAGGCUGCAAUCAUAGGUAUACUUUUCCUGGGAAUAAACUGAACACAGUAGGGUCUACUUCUCAAUAAACAGGCAUAGAUUUGUCCAAACCAGCCCCUUAAAUUGUGCCUGGAAGCUGAUUAGCAUCCACUACACUAGUUCUUUAAACACCCAGGUGUAACAUUUUUCCUGCUUCUUUAUUUAUUUUAAAGCAUUCUUAUCUUGCUCUUCAACCAAGAAGGUUCCUAGAGCCACUUACAAAUGUCAUUGAUAAGACAGCUUCUGUCCUCAGGUUAAUGAUCUAAAAGACAGGACACAAAAAGAAGAGGGAUUUGUGAAGUAGGAGGAGAAAAGCAAACUCUGGCACUAUUUCUUAACUGAAGAGGAAGCAGCCAAACACUGGUUUUUAAGUAGAGUGGAUGGAGAGGCUCUGCAGUCCUGUCUCUGCCAUUCCCUCUCCUGAGUCAGAUGGAAUCAGCUUAAUUCAGUUAACAAGCAGGCUGCCACAUUAUAUUCCAGCUUUAGGUUACGAACAGUCUUUUCAAGCAGCUCUAUGUAGAGCACAUUACAACUGACUUGUAAAGUUGUUUAUAAUAGUGGCCAGGCCACCCUUCUCUUACAGUGCAGUCCUAACAGUGCAGGUCUAACCACAUUUACUCAAAAGUAAGCCAUACUGAAUUCAGUGGGGCUUCCUCCCAGAUAAAUGGGGUUAGGGGAUUGCAACCCUAAUCCCCAGACUAACCAUUUAGCCCAUCAAAAGUAGCUGAGCUUUGUACCUCAGUGACAUUGCUUGAAACUUUUUUCAGGCUCUUUACAGUAUAUCAAAACUUAAUUUCACUUUUAUAGAUGAGACUUUCCUUUCUACCAUAGUGUGCCACGACUUAUUAAAGUACUUAGAAAAAUAGGCAAGUGCAGUCAAACAGUGUCUUGCAGAUAAAUUCACUUUUGUAUGUGUUCCAGAAUAGGGAUUGAUGAGUCAGUCUGUUUCCAGCCAGUGUCGAUCAUUUGCUCACUUAUAAGUCUGAUCCCAUUCUGAUCCCAGCCCAGUUCCUCAUUAAUUUAUCAUUUUUUUAAAAAAAGCCUAGGGCUUGCUGAUCAGAAGGUCAGCGGUUCAAAUCCCCGUGACAUGGUGAGCUCCCGUUGCUCGGUCCCUGCUCCUGCCAACCUAGCAGUUUGAAAGGACGUCAAAGUGCAAGUAGAUAAAUAGGUACCGCUCCGGCGGGAAGGUAAACAGCAUUUCCAUGUGCUGCUCUGGUUCACCAGAAGCUCAUUCAUGCUGGCCACAUGACCUGAAAGUUGUGUGUAGACAAACGCCAGCUCCCUCGGCCAGUAAAGCGAGAUGAGCGCCGCAACCCCAGAGUCGUCCGCGACUGGACUUAACGGUCCGGGGUCCCUUUACCUUUACAUAUUUUAAAGUUAUGUGUGUUGUAUUUUUUUAAGCAAAUAACUUAAUUUGGGACAUUUGCAAGUGUGAAAGGUGAUGGAUUCCUAAGCUCGUGGAUCAGGCCAGUUUGCUCCAGAAUUUCAAAAUAUGAAAUUCUUCAAGCAUCUCUAUUCAAUAACAGACUUUUGGGUGUGAUUUAUUUCAUAUUCUUUUCCCUUCCUUGCUGUUGCCUCUUCUGUGUUUUUCUAAUAUACAUAUGUUUGGACCUCUGACCCCAAGCCUGAACUUGGUUUUAUAAAGAACUCUUGGAGAAUGGGUUAUUACCAAUUUGAAUGGUUAGUCCCCCAUAUAGAGGGUAAUAUUUUGUCUAUUGUAAACAUAUUUUAUCUUACAGAAAUGCUGACCUUUUAUAUGUAUAUUUUUAACUUCUGUACAUUUUGAUGCUUGUAUCAUAUAAAUUGAAACAUUAAAAACACGAGAGAAAAGUGGAAUUUUAUGCUACUGGAUAUUGCUCGGAAUUGAGAUAACUGGUGGCCAUUUUAACACAUGAGUGGUGAGGUACUAGUAUUUGAUCACAAACACACUUCUACUCAUGUAGAAAGAGAUGUUUUCAUAUGCCUAUCAUAGUGCUGCAGAAUAUAUUACAGCUCCCCACCUGUAAGUCCCAAUUGUAGUUCACUCAAGUCAAUAGGAAAGUGCAGCCAAGCAAACCCUGAGAAGCUUUUGCUUUACUCUUUCUUAUCUCUUGUUACAUGGAAUAUUUAGAGGCGAUAUGUUGCUUCUCCCCCUUUCUUCAGACCUCUCCCUCUUGCCUUGCAAGUCUGUGGUAUGUUAACUCCUCUUUCUCCCUUGUGUUGCUUAGUAGCCAACAAUUUCUUCUGCGUCAGGUAAUAAUUAUUAUAGCCCUCCCAAGGUGUCUGUGAUUCCUAAAAAUGCUGUCUGCAUCUCAAAGAGCUUCAUUAUAGGGUUUGGAUGCUUAAUGCUGAUAAAGUGUGUGUGUGUGUUUGUUCCCUUUCUCACUGUGUCCUUUGCCCACCCUAUAAACUGCUGCUCCUCUUCUCCCCCCACCCCAGCCUUAGUGCCUGAUUCCAUUCUGUUGUUCCUGACCUCAUUUGGAAUAUUGCAUAUCUCUGGAUGGCAAUCCUGUGCCUGAUAAGAGAUGAGGGAUGGAAUGUGAGACUGAAUGUACAUGUGAGAAGACCGAGAGCAGGAGUGAAUGUUGUUUUGAUCCAUCUCUCUGCAAGUGAAUUGAUUGC